rnacentral:rRNA from 1 species
UACAGAGGUCUCAAGCGUUGUUCGGAAUUACUGGGCGUAAAGGGCGCGUAGGCGGCUCGCUAAGUCGGAUGUGAAAACUCUGGGCUCAACCCAGAGCCUGCAUCCGAAACUGGUGGGCUAGGGUGCUGGAGGGGAAAGCGGAAUUCCUGGUGUAGCGGUGAAAUGCGUAGAUAUCAGGAGGAACACCGGUGGCGAAGGCGGCUUUCUGGACAGUAACCGACGCUGAGGCGCGAAAGCUAGGGGAGCAAACAGG